rnacentral:tRNA from 1 species
GAGUCUAACUCAGUGGUAGAGUGUGUGCUUAGCAUACACAAGGCUCUGGGUUCAACCCCCCAGCAGACUCC